rnacentral:rRNA from 1 species
GACAGAGGUGCCGAGCGUUAGGCGGAAUCACUGGGCUUAAAGCGUGUGUAGGCGGACUUCUAAGUACCUUGUGAAAUCCCACGGCUCAACCGUGGAACUGCUCGGUAUACUGGUUGUCUUGAGCCACUUAGGGGCAGUCGGAACAGACGGUGGAGCGGUGAAAUGCGUAGAUAUCGUCUGGAACGCCAAAGGUGGAAACAGACUGCUGGGAGUGUGCUGACGCUGAGACACGAAAGCCAGGGGAGCAAACGGG